GGGUCAAUGAUGACAACUGAAUGUCAUGAAGAGAGGUGAUGACAUAAAAAUCAUGCUCAAUAGGAUUACGCUGAUACCC